GUCCUUUUGUACUCUCCCCAUCUACAUUUCCAAUCACUAAUCCUAUUGUUUUAUAGAAAUUCAAGGUCUAUGGGACACCUGAGAACAGCCUAUUCAAUUAAUUUAUGUUAGAAAUUAUUGGCUUGCUUCCUUUUAACAUAUUCAAGGACCUCUCAGCUUUCCACAAAAAAUAUCUCUGAAAAAUGAAAAAAAAAAUCUCAUAAGAAUAAAAAAAUAGGACUUUCAUAAAAAUUACUAGAACACAGGAGGAAAUUUCUACAGGUUGAAAUACAUAUAGGAAUAAAAUGAGAACUACAAUUGCCUGAUUUUUUUGUCACAAUUGCCUGAUAACACACUUUUGCUAUAUUAAAAUAAUACACAAAGAACUGAAAGUUUUGGUAGGAGACACUGCAUCCCUAACGUCCCCUUUUCAAACUCUGGCUCGUCAUGGAUGCAGGGUUCUAGCUAGCAGGCAGCUACGCAUCUCAGUCGUGCUACGUGUAGCGAAGGUUCCCACAUCUGCUCAACCACCCCUUCCCAGCAUCGGUUUAAUUCUACAGAUCCCCUGAAAAUAACGAACUAUGACUGGUAGAAAUAUCGUGUUCUAAGCUUUAUAGAUUCUAUUGGGGGUAUUGAACACCAGACAAAUCAUGUAUUGAAGACUGCCAGUAUUCAUGUACUCCACUGGAUUUUAUUAUCAGAGCAGAUGUGUGUGACCCCAGGAAUGGAAGGGGACUCAGCACGACGAGAGAGAGCUGGACCAAGAUGCAGGCGAACUGCUCACUUUUCUUGGAAAGACGAUGGACUUAGAAGUCAAUGAAACCUGUCUGAACCUCAGCUGUUCGGGACUUUUCAGCCCCGAGCAUGUUACUCACCUCACACGGCCUGGUUUCCUUUUCUGAAAUUUGACAGAACCAAAACAUAUCAGGGUCUGCGUAGCAAACUGUACAGUAAAUACUCCAUAAAUAUUCAUUCUCCCCUUCAAUUCUUCUGAAAAGAC